UACGUAGGGUGCAAGCGUUGUCCGGAAUUAUUGGGCGUAAAGAGCUCGUAGGCGGCUUGUCGCGUCGGCUGUGAAAACCUGGGGCUCAACCCCGGGCCUGCAGCCGAUACGGGCAGACUAGAGUUCGGUAGGGGAGACUGGAAUUCCUGGUGUAGCGGUGAAAUGCGCAGAUAUCAGGAGGAACACCGGUGGCGAAGGCGGGUCUCUGGGCCGAAACUGACGCUGAGGAGCGAAAGCGUGGGGAGCGAACAGG
rnacentral:rRNA from 1 species